rnacentral:rRNA from 1 species
GAUCCUGGCUUAGGAUGAACGCUAGCGGCAGGCUAACACAUGCAAGUCGAGGGGCAGCGGGAUGUAGCAAUACAUUGCCGGCGACCGGCGGAUGGGUGCGUAACGCGUAUGCAACCUACCUUAUACAGGGGAAUAACCUUUCGAAAGGGAGACUAACACCCCAUAGUAUUGAUUUAAGGCAUCUUAGAUUAAUUAAAUAUUUAUAGGUAUAAGAUGGGCAUGCGUAUGAUUAGCUAGUUGGUAAGGUAACGGCUUACCAAGGCGACGAUCAUUAGGGGUUCUGAGAGGAAGGUCCCCCACACUGGUACUGAGACACGGACCAGACUCCUACGGGAGGCAGCAGUGAGGAAUAUUGGUCAAUGGGCGCAAGCCUGAACCAGCCAUGCCGCGUGCCAGGAAGACGGCCUUAUGGGUUGUAAACUGCUUUUACAUAAGACUAACCGUAUAUUUGCGAAUAUACCUGAAUGUAUUAUGAGAAUAAGGAUCGGCUAACUCCGUGCCAGCCGCCGC